rnacentral:lncRNA from 1 species
AUGAUCAUCUUGUGCCACUGAUUGGUUAUUGCGAUGAGCAGGAGAUGAUGCUCCUGGUCUAUGAGUACGUGGCUGGUGGAAAUCUAAGUGAGCACCUUUAUGGGACCAGGAAACCACCCCUUAACUGGAUUCAGCGCAUGGAGAUCUGCGUUGGUGUUGCUCGUGGCCUGUGCUACCUUCACGGAUGGCAGCUCACCCACGGGGCAGUGAGGACAUCAAACAUCCUACUGGAUGAGGAAUGUCUUGCUAAGAUUACCAAUCUAGCACUGCCGCCCAAUCUUUUGGAUAACCAGGCAUCCAAAGUCCAUGAAACUGAUGGUUACAUCGAUCCAGAAUACUUGCACACCGGUGUGCAUACUGAGAAAUCAGAUGUCUAUUGUUUUGGCCUUGUGCUACUCGAAGUCCUCUUUGGUCGCCCUGUUAUCAAGCACCAACGUCUUGAGGAACAAAUUGCGUGGUUGUUAAUCCGAGGAGUUCAACAGCAGACAUUGGACUACCUUGAUCAGAAUGUUGACCCAUUCCUAAGGGGAAAAAUUAAUCCACAGUUUCUGAAGAAAUUUUUCCGUACUGCCGCUAAGUGCCUUGCUGAGAAAGGCAUUCACCGCCCAUCGAUGCGAGAUGUAAUGUCAGACCUGCAGUAUGCCCAUUUCUCCCUUAAGUUGGGUUGGAUCACAGAUGAUAGCGGUUGCAUGUCAGACGAUGCCAUGGAUGAGGGGAGGUGAUUGUGGAUUCUGAACUCUGAUGACCAGGCAUAGCAUGAUUCCACGAGUUUGUUCUGUUAUUACUCUCCCUUGUUUGCGAUAUAGUAGUAGAUUUAGUUGUCCUGUAUCCUGUCUUGCUUAUUGUCUCCAACUCUGUUGUACGAGUACCGGUUAUCUCCAACUGGCUUGUAUUGUGUAUCGCUUGCUAUUUACCCAAUGAAUACCUAGCUCUGCUAGCAUCAUCAUCCUUUGCGCACUACUGUAGGAGUAAGUCAACUUUGUUACACGAAAACAUUGGGUUCUUGUUUUUUCACCCUUGUUUCUGUGAGCUUGUGUAUCUGUAUGUGUCCCUUCGGCAGGAGACUGGCCUCUUCCAGAGCCGAUGUGAGGAAUGUCUUGCUAAGAUUACCAAGCCGCCCAAUUUUUUUGAUAACCAGGCGACCGAAGUCCGUGAAACUGAUGGUUACAUCGAUCCAGAAUACUUGCACACCGGUCUGCGUACUGAGAAAUCAGAUGUCUAUUGUUUUGGCCUUGUGCUACUCGAAGUCCUCUUUGGUCGCCCUGUUAUCAAGCACCAACGUCUUGAGGAACAAGUUGCGUGGUUGGUAAGCUGGCAGUUCAGUGUCCGGCGAUGGACUACCUUGAUCAGAAUGUUGACCCCUUGUUUACUUCCCUAAAUAUUUUGCAAAAUGUUUCAGAUUUUCCGUCACAUCGAAUCUUAUGGCACAUGUAUGGAGCAUUACAUAGUUUGCAUGUAAUUUGCGAGAUGAAUUUUUUAAGACUAGUUAGCCUAUGAUUGAAUAAUAUUUGUUAAAUACAAACGAAAGUGUUACUGUUUAUAUUUUGCAAAUUUUUUUACAAGUAAACAAGGCUUUGUCGUCUCCUACUUUGUUGUACGAGUGUAUCGCUGAUUCGCUGCUAUUUACCCAACGAACACGUAGCUCCGCUGGCAUCAUUAUCAUCCUUAGCGCAUUAUUGUCGAACUAAGUCAACUUUGUUAUACACAAACACUACAAGAUUGGUUUUUUUUUCACCCUUGUUUCUGUGAGGUUGUGUUUGUGUAACCGUACGGUGUCCCACUGUCCCUUCGGCAGGAGACUGGCCCCUUCUUGCCGCAGAGUGCAUAGUCGAUGUCGAUGUGAGAGCGCCAUAGGUGGUGCUCAAAGCCUUCAUGGCUGGGCUGGCAUGCGCCCGGCGCGACAUGCCGACACAUUCAUAGCCUCGAAGUUUUUUCAACUUCACUCUAUAGCCUACUCCCAGGUCCAUCCGUAACGGUGCGACCUUCAACUGUUCGGUGGAGGAGGUGGACGGCAUGGCCGCGUCGCCACGCUUGCGCACAGCUUCUCGACCGGCCCACACUCGCUUGGGAUGGGAGCACGUGGGCUGUGGCGACUGCCAAGUGAUCGGCGGCGGCCGAGGUGUUGCGAUUGUGAGUGUUUGUUACCGCCCGUGGCGAUGGUUGUUGCGCCAGCACGGUGAGGUAGCAUGGCACCCUCCGCGCGCACCACGGUUGCUCGAUGGAAUGCCUCAACAGCAUCUUUGCUGGAAGACAAACAGUGGGCAGCUCGCUUUCCGGCUGGACGUACAGAAAAUGAAUUUUCAACACCCACUGGCCACUGCUGCACUGCAGCAGAGGGCUGGAGAUUCAGCUUGGCGGUUGACUCUCUCGGCAUUGGCAUCUCUUGUCUCCACUCCAUUCAUCCAUCCAUUGCAAGGUGAGCGUCUGUCAUACACUGGAGGGCCGGGAGACGAUAGACUCUCGUGCUUGACGGUUGACUCGCUCAGCACUGGCAUCUCUUCUCUCCGUUCCAUUCAUCCAUCCUUCACAGGUAUGUCUUCAACCAUGCUUGCUCGUCCAUCCUUAUUACCAGAUACAUAUCCCUUUGCAAUUUUUAUUUUACGCAUUUUUUAUCCGCCUCAAAAUUCUCGGGAUACUUUCAACUCAGCUGAGCUCUCAAGUUUGCCUACAUCUCGAGAUACAAUACAAGGACGAACAAGGAAAUUGACCCUGCUACCUUCUGGUAUGUCUUUGAUCUUUUGUUAGACGUAGAUCUGAGUUUCAGAGGAGAAAUUUCGAUCUCGUUUUAAAGUAUUUUCUCAUGUUGGGUGUAGGCAUCACUAUUAACUCCCAACAGCUAGAUUCACCCAUUGUUUCUCAAGUUUAAACCUGUCGCAGGACAUGGGAUUUAACCGAAUUAAUUGCCAUACCGGUCCAAUUUGUUCUUGAACCAAUGUAAAGUUAAGCAAUCAAUGUCAUGCUGCCAUUACUGACAAUGGUAUUGUUUCUAACAAAAGGGACACCAAUAUAAUUUGGGCAAUGGACAUCCAUUUCUGCUACAAAAUCACUUCAUAUUUUGUGGACUCUUGGAGCUGCUCUUGCACUGUAAAAAUCUGUGUUAGACUAAACCGAAACAAACACUCUGGAAACAACAAUUUUUUCCAAGAGCUCCGUGGCAUUUUGGUCCUUUUCUGAAAGAAACAUUAGGGAGCUGAAAUUCGUUCAUUCAAGAGGGUGGAAAUAACUUUUUGUUACAGAUUACUGGUUUACUAGGUUCUAAGGACUUUUCCACAUAAACAGUGUACUACCAUAAAGAUUAAGGUUCUGACUUUGCUGCAUCAAUCAUCUUCUAUGGUUUUUUGUUGUUAUCCAGUGUUUUACUCAAUGGCUAACUAUCAUAUAUAUGAACUCCAGUACUCCACUGCUUCCACAGGCGGAAUCCUCCAGCAACAAAGUGAUGGAACUUAUCCAAGAAGCUGAUAGAUCUAAGUGGAUGAUGCACAGUAAUCAUAGCAUAAGAUGCUUUACUGGAGGUGACAUAGAAAGAAUGACCAACAGCUAUAGAACUUGUCUUGGAAGAGGUGCCUUCGGAGAAGUAUAUGAAGGGAUUCUUGAGGACGACAGCAUGGUUGCAGUGAAAAGGUUGAUCGGAAAUAUGAAAGAAAACUUUGCUAAAGAGUUUAUCGUCCAUCGUGAAAUCAACCACAAGAAUGUAGUGAGGCUCAUUGGUUAUUGUGUAGAGGAAAAUGCCCUUAUUUUGGUCAUGGAGUAUAUCGCUAAUGGAAAUCUGAAUGAUGUUCUUCACGAUGAUAACCGUCCCAUCCCUUUGGAUAUAAGACUUAGAAUUGCCAUUGAGUGUGCGGAAGCUUUGGCAUACAUGCAUUCUCACAUGUAUACUCAGGUUAUCCAUGGCGACAUCAAGCCUGGUAACAUACUCUUAGAUAGAAACUUUCAUGCAAAAUUGUCGGACUUCGGAAUAUCAAGAGUGGCCAACACAGAUAAGACACUAUACACAAAGAAUGUAAUUGGGAGCAUAGGUUACAUGGACCCUUUGUUUUCUUUGGAUGGUCGUAUCACUGUUAAGUAUGACGUUUAUAGCUUUGGAGCUGUUCUCGUUGAACUGAUCACUAGGAAAAAGGCAGUAGUUGAUAACGUCAACAAUGUUUAUGCAUUUAAUAAUGCUCUUACAAGUGGGAUCCGGGGUGUGAGAGAGAUGUUCGAUGUUGACAUUGCAAGCAAGAAUAACUUGAAGGUUCUUGAAGGAGUUGCAAAGCUAGCAGGUGAAUGCCUAAGGAUGGACAGGGAAAAACGUCCUGAGAUGAUUGAUGUGGUGGAACGUCUUCGGGUGCUACAGAAAUCUUCAAAUCAGGAUCAGCGACGGCGACGUGUAGAUAUGUUCUCUUGGGUAAGGAAGAGCAAUCCAGCACCUCCUCCUUCAGAUGUGUAUCGCCGGUUCUCGUUUGCAGAGAUAAAGGCUGCAACAAACAACUUUGAUGAAUCACUCCUUGUUGAGGAAGGUGAAUCUGGUAGAGUUUACUGUGGCCAGGUUAAUGGACGAAAAACCAAUGUGGCUAUCAAAUAUCUACAGAACGGACUCAAUGAAUUGUAUGCGGAGAUAAAGUUCUUGCCAAGGCACCGAAUCCGCCAUCGUCAUCUUGUGGCCAUGAUCGGUUACUGCAUUGAAGAGGAUGAAAUGAUAAUGAUACUGGUGUACGACUACAUGGCUCGUGGAAGUCUGCGUGACCACCUCCAUGGGAUCCAGAAGACGCCCCUUUCCUGGAAGCGCCGUACAGAGAUAUGCAUUGGUGCAGCUCGUGGCUUGCACUACCUUCAUGAACUACCGUUCAUCCAUCGUAAUGUGACCUCAGAAAAAAUCCUGCUGGUUGAGGAAUGGGUUGCCAAGAUUACUGUACUUCCACUUUCCAAUACUCUGACAUUAUCAGUUGAGCAUGGAACUUAUGGUUAUGCCGCUCCUGAGUACGUGAGGAACAGUUAUCUUACUGAGAAAUCAGAUGUCUAUUCAUUUGGUGUUGUGUUACUGGAGGUCCUCUGUGCUCAGCCUGCAUGGAAAUGGGAUGAGUAUUUUCCAACCGAACAAUUAGUGUUGACAAAUUGGGCAUUGUGUCAAGGGCGUUCUUGCCCAGCGACGGCGGCCCUCGGCUACGUAGCUCGUAGCCUUGGUCCGUGAUAACUGGCGGGGUUAUGCCCCCUCGCCUAACCUCGCUGGUCGGGUUAUACCCCCUGGCCGGCGGCUUGAGAGAAGAGAGAAGAGAGAUAGGUUUAAUCUUGCUUGAUUCCAAAAGGUCUCCAAUUACAAGGCUUUAUAGCCUGGACUCCCAACAAGAAAGGAAACUAAUCUUCUAGACUUAAGGAAACCAGAUAAUAUCUUUCUAAACAAACCAAAUCUUACCAAACCUAGACUCUCCUUUUCUGGCCAAGCCGCCUGGGCGCCUGGCUAGCCACUAACGGCGCCAGCCCCCUUGGCCAGGCUCUGGGCGCGCUUAGCGGCCCUGCGCACAUCGCGCAGCCUGCGACGCCUAGUGUAUGUAUUUCCCCCACAUGACAUCUCUCCCUUCCUCGAGAGGCAGCUCGUCCUCGAGCUGGAACUGUAGGUAUGAAGCGCGGAAGACGUCAACAUCUUCCCAUGUAGCUGAAGCCGGCGACGACCCCUUCCACUUGAUGAGGACUUGACGCACACCCCUGGCCAAGUGUGACUUGACCACUUGCUCAGGCUCGGGCACCACUGCACCAUGGCGGAGCGGAGGAAGGGGCGGCGGAGCUGCUGGAGGCUCGCCGUGGUACUUCUUAAGAAGGCCCACGUGGAACACGUCGUGGAUGCGAGCUUGGGGUGGCAAGUCGAGGCGGACCGCGACGUCGUUGAUGAGAUCCACCACCCGGUAUGGCCCGUAGAACUUGGGCUUCAGCUUGCCUGCAGGAGCCGCGGACAGGGACGCAGCCGGCCUCUGUCGAAGGCGAAGGAGCGCCCAGUCUCCCACCAGGUAAGAGACCGGCCGAUGGCCCCGGUCGUAGUGGCGUUUUUGGACUGCCUGGGCCUGCUCGAGUCGGUGCUUGACGUCGGCGAUGAACUCGGCGCGUUCCUCCAUGGUCUGAGCCACCGCAGCGACCCGGGUUUCGCCCGGCUCGUAGGAGCGAAUGGACGGCGGGUCCCGGCCGUACACGACACGGAAUGGAGUGUCGUGGAGCGAAGACUGGAACGCGGUGUUGAAGAUGUACUCUGCCCAUGGAAGCCAACGCAGCCAGUCGCGAGGUCUGUCUCUUGUCAGGCAACGCAAAUACAUGAUGAUGACUUUGUUAGCUGAUUCGGACUGCCCGUCCGUCUGGGGGUGAAAAGCUGUCGACAUCUGCAGUUUGGUGCCGCUAAGGCGCAUCAACUCGCGCCAAAAAUUGGAGGUGAACACCGUGUCGCGGUCGGACACGAUGGACUGUGGAAUGCCGUGCAGCCUAACAACGUCCGCGAAGAAUGCUUGGGCCACCCCCUCCGCCGAGUACGGAUGCGCCAAGGGAAUGAAGUGGCAAUACUUGCUGAAUCUGUCGACGACGGUGAGGAUGACAGACUUGCCCUUAACGCGGGGAAGGGUCUCGACGAAAUCCAUGGCGAUGUCGGACCACACACCCUGCGGCACGGGUAGUGGUAGUAGGAGCCCCGCUGGGUGAAGAUGCUCUGAUUUGUGGCGCUGGCAGAUGGAGCAGCCCCGCACAAAGUCCUGCACCACCGUCUUCAUGUGAGGGAAGUGAAAAUCGCGACGGAGCCGGUGCAGCGUACGCUGGACCCCCUCAUGGCCCUCCUCGUGGACGGCGCGCAGAGCCUCCUGCAGCAAGGGAGAGGCCGGUGGGAGGUACAGCCGCCCGCUGUACGUGACCAGCCCGUCGGACAGCGCCCAGGGAAGCGCCCGUGUACCCGCACUGAUCUCCUGCUGGAGUGCGACGAGGGCCGGAUCAGUUGCGUGAGCCUGGCGCAGUCUCUGCACGAAGUCGAAGCGGGGCGCGGACAGCACCAGCACCGCGCUCUCCUCGACAGUAUCCCGCCGUGAGAGAGCAUCAGCCACGGCGUUCGAGUGCCCCGGCUUGUAUUCCACGGCGAAGUCGAAGCCCAGCAGCUUGCCAACCCAGUGAUGCUGAGGAAUGGUUGACAAGCGCUGAUCCAGCAGGUACUUGAGGCUGUAGUGGUCGGUCUUGACAGUGAAGCGGCGCCCCCAUAAAUACGGUCGCCAAUGGCGAACUGCGUGGACAAGACCGAUGAGCUCGCAUUCAUAGGCGGCGAGAGCUCGGUGCCGUGGCGCCACGGGGCGGCUGAAGAAGGCGAUGGGGUGGCCCUCCUGGACCAGUACCGCCCCGAAGCCAUGCGACGAUGCGUCGCACUCGACGGUGAACUGCUUGGAGAAGUCCGGCAUGGCGAGCACCGGCGCCGAGGUCACCGCGUCCUUGAGGGCGUCGAACGCAGCAGCGGCCUCGGCGGACCACGAGAAGCCGUCCUUCUUCAGCAGGGCGGUGAGAGGUGCUGCGAUGGUCCCAUAAUUGUGAACAAACUUGCGGUAGUAGCCGGCGAGUCCCAGGAACCCACGCACUGCCCGGGAGGACCGUGGCUGUGGCCAGUCCCGCACGGCUUGGAGUUUGGCGGGGUCCAUGGCGACGCCAGCAGCAGAGACGAUGUGGCCGAGGUACGCGACCGACGCUGCAGCGAACGCGCACUUGGAGCGCUUGAGGAAGAGUUUGUGACGCUGCAGCUCGUCGAAGACCGCACGAAGAUGGCGUAGGUGAUCGGCCCAAGUGCUGCUGUAAAUCAAAAUAUCGUCAAAGAACACCAGCACAAAACGACGGAGGAACGGACGAAGAACAUCAUUCAUCAAAGCCUGGAACGUGGCCGGAGCAUUGCAUAGUCCAAAGGCCAUGACCAGGAACUCAUAGAGGCCGUCGUGCGUGCGGAACGCCGUCUUGUGGAUGUCCGCCGGCCGCAUGCGGACUUGAUGGUACCCCGAGCGGAGGUCGAGCUUGGUGAAGUAGCAGGCCCCAUGGAGCUCAUCCAAGAGCUCGUCGACCACCGGUAUGGGGAACGCGUCUUUGAUGGUGAGCGCGUUGAGCGCUCUGUAGUCGACGCAGAAGCGCCACGACCCGUCCGGCUUCUUGACGAGGAGGACCGGGGACGAGAACGCGGAGUCGCUGCGCCGUACGAUGCCUUGCUCCAUCAUGGCGGCGCAUUGCCGCUCGAGUUCAUCUUUGUGCGCAGCGGGGUAGCGGUAGGGCCGAACAGCCACCGGCAACGCGCCGGGCUUGAGGACGAUGCUGUGGUCGCGGGUUCGCUGAGGGGGCAGACCAGCCGGCUCCGCGAAGAGGCUCCCAAAGACGAGCAGCAGCUCGUCCAGGAGGGUCGUCGGUGCUGUCACGGCGGCGCUGAGGGCCGGCGUGGGUGUGGCCACGUCGGACCAGCACACGCGCCUGUCCUGGCGGGUAAAGGACAGGGUGCGCGCGGUGAAGUCCCACUCAAUCCGGCCCAGGGUUACCAGCCAUUGGGUGCCCAGGACCAGAUCAUAACCGGCGAGGGGCAGAACGUAGAGGUCGACGCAGAAGCUCUCGCCGUCGAUGACGAUCGGCGCCUGUCGCAGCACGCCGGGACACGCGAUGCGUUCGCCAUUGGCGACGGUGGCGGUGAGGCGCGGGUCGGCGAGGAUGGUGAGGCCGGUGCGCGUCGCAGCCGUCUCCGCGAUGAAGUUGUGGGUAGAGCCCGUGUCGAGGAGCGCAGUGAGGGUGACGUCGCCCACGGCCACUCGGACCUGCAUAGUAUCACAGAUGGGCAUACCCGUGAUGGCGCGGAGGGAGAACACUGGGGCAGCUGGCUCGGCAUCGUCGGGAACGGCCUCCUCGUCUGCGAGCUCGAUCCCAUCAAUGAAGAAGAUGCGGCGGCAGACCCGGUUGUGACCCCUGGAAUACGGCUCGUUGCAAUUGUAGCAAAGACCGAGGCGUCGUCGUUCUGCCUGUUCCUCGGUCGAGAGCCGCUUGACCUGGUUGGGCGCGCCCCUGGGUGGUGGUGCUGGGAGCGCUGGCAGGGCCGGCGCCGGGGCCGGGAGCGCCAGGGGUGCUGGAGCCGGCCUGACCGCCGGCCGAGGUGCUGGACCAGCACGCGGGGCUGGUGGCGGGAGCGCGGCCUGGGUGCGAUCCAGCUCCAUCAGCUCGACCUGGCGCGCCAGACUCAUCGCGGCGGCGAGGGUCUCCGGGUUGUGGAUGCGAACUGCGUGACUCAGGGGCGGGAGCAGUCCCCCUGUGUAGAGCUGAACGCGCUGGGUCUCCUCCAAUCGCCCGGCGCGCGGCAGCAGGGCCUGAAAACGAUUAGAGUAUUCUUCGACAGUACCUGUGCGGCGACACUCCGCGAGCUCGAAGAGCGGAGCCGACCUCAGGGGCGGCCCAAACCGCAAGUGGAGGAGGUCUUUGAAUCGGCCCCAGGAAGGAGUGCCCUCGUCCUCUUGCAACUGGAUGAACCAGAGCUGGGCGACAUCUUCGAGGUUGUAGGACGCCAUCCAGACGCGCUCCUCUGCCAAAGUGCGCUGCUGCCGAAAGUACGACUCGCACUUGUUGGUGAAGAGCAGAGGGUCGGACUUGCCGUCGAAGCGCGGGAAAUCAAGCUUCUGGAACUUGGGGGGACGGUCCAAGUCGCGCUGGCCGCCGCCCGCGCUCUCGGACGUCGAAGCCGACUUCUCCUUCAUUGCCAGCAUGUCGGCCUUCAUGGAGGAUAUCUCCUCCUUAAAGGAUUUCAGCAUCUCGACGACAUCGGCGAUUGUGGGAGCAGCCAUGGCGGGUGGGGGAUGGGUGGACGCAGUGGAGGACGUAGGGGAUGGCGGCGGGGUAGGGUGGGCGGCGGCAGUGGAGGCUUGAGAGGUUGACGAGGAUCGGCGUGACCGUGAUACCAGGUUGUCAAGAGCGUUCUUGCCCAGCGACGGCGGCCCUCGGCUACGUAGCUCGUAGCCUUGGUCCGUGAUAACUGGCGGGGUUAUGCCCCCUCGCCUAACCUCGCUGGUCGGGUUAUACCCCCUGGCCGGUGGCUUGAGAGAAGAGAGAAGAGAGAUAGGUUUAAUCUUGCUUGAUUCCAAAAGGUCUCCAAUUACAAGGCUUUAUAGCCUAGACUUCCAACAAGAAAGGAAACUAAUCUUCUAGACUUAAGAAAACCAGAUAAUAUGUUUCUAAACAAACCAUAUCUUAGCAAACCUAGACUCUCCUUUUCUGGCCAAGCCGCCUGGGCGCCUGGCUAGCCACUAACAGCGCCAGCCCCCUUGGCCAGGCUCUGGGCGCGCUCAGCGGCCCUGCGCACAUCGCGCAGCCUGCGACGCCUAGUGUAUGUAUUUCCCCACAUGACACAUUGCAAUGCAAAGAGGAGGGGGACCUUGAUCAGAUUACUGAUCCAUACCUAAGGGGAAGAAUUAAUCCGUGGUCUCGUAACAAGUUUGCCGAAACUGCUCUGAAGUGUGUUGCUGAUAAAGAUCGUGACCGUCCAUCGAUGGGAGAUGUGCUAUUAGACCUAGAGUAUGCCCUUAAGUUGGAUGAGAGUCUGGCAAGCGAAUGUGCCAAGAUUUUGCCGUCAGGCCUGUGCCGCCAGUUCUCACUUUCAGAGAUGGAGGCUGCGACAAACAACUUCCACGAGUCACUCCUUAUGGGUAGGGGUUCAUCUAGUAGUGUUUACCUUGGCAAGAUUGAUUCAGCGGCAUUGGCAACCAUGGUAGCUGUUAGGCGUGUUUACGGUGUACGUGACAUCCAUUGCCUGAUAGAGACUGUGUUGAAGCUCGGCCAUGGUCAUCUUGUGCCACUGGUUGGUUAUUGCCAUGAGAAGGAGACGACGCUCCUGAUUUAUGAAUACGUGGCUGGUGGAGAUCUUCGUGAGCACCUCUACGGGAUGAAGCCACCCCUUAGCUGGAGGCAGCGUAUUGAGACCUGCAUUGGUGUUGCUCGUGGCCUGUGCUACCUUCACGGAUUACAACUCACCCACGGGGCAGUGAGGACGUCAAACAUUCUACUGGAUGAUCAGGAAUGUCUUGCUAAGAUCACGAAUAUAGCUCCGCCACCCACUGAGGUCUGUGAAACUGAUUCUUACAGCGAUCCUGAGUACUUGCGCACCGGGCUGCGCACUGAGAAAUCAGAUGUCUAUUGUUUUGGUCUUGUGCUACUCGAAGUCCUCUUUGCUCGCCCUGUUAUC